AGGACGAACGCUGGCGGCGUGCCUAACACAUGCAAGUCGAGCGAGGAGAUCCUUCGGGAUGAUCCUAGCGGCGGACGGGUGAGUAACACGUGGGCAACCUGCCUCAUAGAGAGGAAUAGCCUUCCGAAAGGGAGAUUAAUACCUCAUAACAUUGCAGUUUCGCAUGGAACAGCAAUUAAAGGAGUAAUCCGCUAUGAGAUGGGCCCGCGGCGCAUUAGCUAGUUGGUGAGGUAACGGCUCACCAAGGCGACGAUGCGUAGCCGACCUGAGAGGGUGAUCGGCCACAUUGGGACUGAGACACGGCCCAGACUCCUACGGGAGGCAGCAGUGGGGAAUAUUGCACAAUGGGGGAAACCCUGAUGCAGCCAACGCCGCGUGAGUGAUGACGGCCUUCGGGUUGUAAAGCUCUGUCUUCAGGGACGAUAAUGACGGUACCUGAGGAGGAAGCCACGGCUAACUACGUGCCAGCAGCUGC
rnacentral:rRNA from 1 species